rnacentral:rRNA from 1 species
UACGAAGGGUGCAAGCGUUAAUCGGAAUUACUGGGCGUAAAGCGUGCGUAGAUGGUUCACUAAGUCGGAUGUGAAAGCCCCGGGCUCAACCUGGGAACUGCAUCCGAUACUGGCGGACUAGAGUGCGGUAGAGGAUGGCGGAAUUCCCGGUGUAGCGGUGAAAUGCGUAGAGAUCGGGAGGAACAUCCGUGGCGAAGGCGGCCAUCUGGACCAGCACUGACGUUGAGGCACGAAAGCGUGGGGAGCAAACAGG